rnacentral:rRNA from 1 species
GACGAACGCUGGCGGCGUGCCUAAUACAUGCAAGUUGAGCGCUGAAGGUUGGUACUUGUACCAACUGGAUGAGCAGCGAACGGGUGAGUAACGCGUGGGGAAUCUGCCUUUGAGCGGGGGACAACAUUUGGAAACGAAUGCUAAUACCGCAUAAAAACUUUAAACACAAGUUUUAAGUUUGAAAGAUGCAAUUGCAUCACUCAAAGAUGAUCCCGCGUUGUAUUAGCUAGUUGGUGAGGUAAAGGCUCACCAAGGCGAUGAUACAUAGCCGACCUGAGAGGGUGAUCGGCCACAUUGGGACUGAGAAACGGCCCAAACUCCUACGGGAGGCAGCAGUAGGGAAUCUUCGGCAAUGGACGAAAGUCUGACCGAGCAACGCCGCGUGAGUGAAGAAGGUUUUCGGAUCGUAAAACUCUGUUGGUAGAGAAGAACGUUGGUGAGAGUGGAAAGCUCAUCAAGUGACGGUAACUACACAGAAAGGGACGGCUAACUACGUG